rnacentral:rRNA from 1 species
AUUGAACGCUGGCGGCAUGCCUUACACAUGCAAGUCGAACGGCAGCACGGGAGCUUGCUCCUGGUGGCGAGUGGCGAACGGGUGAGUAAUACAUCGGAACGUACCCUGAAGUUGGGGGAUAACGUAGCGAAAGUUACGCUAAUACCGCAUAUUCUGUGAGCAGGAAAGAGGGGGAUCGCAAGACCUCUUGCUUUAGGAGCGGCCGAUGUCGGAUUAGCUAGUUGGUGAGGUAAAGGCUCACCAAGGCGACGAUCCGUAGCGGGUCUGAGACGGAUGAUCCGCCACACUGGGACUGAGACACGGCCCAGACUCCUACGGGAGGGCAGCAGUGGGGAAUUUUGGACAAUGGGC